CCUACGGGCGGCUGCAGUGGGGAAUAUUGCACAAUGGGCGCAAGCCUGAUGCAGCCAUGCCGCGUGUGUGAAGAGGGCCUUCGGGUUGUAAAGCACUUUCAGCGGGGAGGAAGGCGUUAAGGUUAAUAACCUUGGCGAUUGACGUUACCCGCAGAAGAAGCACCGGCUAACUCCGUGCCAGCAGCCGCGGUAAUACGGAGGGUGCAAGCGUUAAUCGGAAUUACUGGGCGUAAAGCGCACGCAGGCGGUCUGUCAAGUCGGAUGUGAAAUCCCCGGGCUCAACCUGGGAACUGCAUUCGAAACUGGCAGGCUAGAGUCUUGUAGAGGGGGGUAGAAUUCCAGGUGUAGCGGUGAAAUGCGUAGAGAUCUGGAGGAAUACCGGUGGCGAAGGCGGCCCCCUGGACAAAGACUGACGCUCAGGUGCGAAAGCGUGGGGAGCAAACAGGAUUAGAUACCCGAGUAGUC
rnacentral:rRNA from 1 species